rfam:Canis lupus familiaris chromosome 31, whole genome shotgun sequence.
CCAGUAUCCCUGGGUAGGCCAAAGCAUCCUACAUGCCUUGAGUUAGAUCUACAGGGUGUCUGA